UACGGAGGGAGCUAGCGUUGUUCGGAAUUACUGGGCGUAAAGCGCACGUAGGCGGCUUUGUAAGUUAGAGGUGAAAGCCCGGGGCUCAACCCCGGAAUUGCCUUUAAGACUGCAUCGCUUGAAUCCAGGAGAGGUGAGUGGAAUUCCGAGUGUAGAGGUGAAAAUUCGUAGAUAUUCGGAAGAACACCAGUGGCGAAGGCGGCUCACUGGACUGGUAUUGACGCUGAGGUGCGAAAGCGUGGGGAGCAAACAGG
rnacentral:rRNA from 1 species